rnacentral:rRNA from 1 species
UACAGAGGUCUCAAGCGUUGUUCGGAUUCAUUGGGCGUAAAGGGUGCGUAGGCGGCGCGGUAAGUCGGAUGUGAAAUCUCGGGGCUUAACUCCGAAACUGCAUUCGAUACUGCCGUGCUUGAGGACUGGAGAGGAGACUGGAAUUUACGGUGUAGCGGUGAAAUGCGUAGAUAUCAGGAAGAACACCCGUGGCGAAGGCGGCUCUCUGGGACGGUACUGACGCUGAGACGCGAAAGCGUGGGGAGCGAACAGG